AAUGAACGCUGGCGGCAUGCCUAACACAUGCAAGUCGAACGAGACCUUCGGGUCUAGUGGCGCACGGGUGCGUAACGCGUGGGAAUCUGCCCUUGGGUUCGGAAUAACAGUUAGAAAUGACUGCUAAUACCAGAUGAUGUCGUAAGACCAAAGAUUUAUCGCCCAAGGAUGAGCCCGCGUAGGAUUAGCUAGUUGGUGAUGUAAAAGCUCACCAAGGCGACGAUCCUUAGCUGGUCUGCGAGGAUGAUCAGCCACACUGGGACUGAGACACGGCCCAGACUCCUACGGGAGGCAGCAGUGGGGAAUAUUGGACAAUGGGCGAAAGCCUGAUCCAGCAAUGCCGCGUGAGUGAUGAAGGCCUUAGGGUUGUAAAGCUCUUUUACCCGGGAUGAUAAUGACAGUACCGGGAGAAUAAGCUCCGGCUAACUUCGUGCCAGCCGCCGCCGUAAUAC
rnacentral:rRNA from 1 species